UUUAAAAGGCGGCGUAAGCUGUCGCUAUGGGAUGGCCCCGCGGUGCAUUAGCUAGUUGGUAAGGUAAAGGCUUACCAAGGCGAUGAUGCAUAGCCGAGUUGAGAGACUGAUCGGCCACAUUGGGACUGAGACACGGCCCAAACUCCUACGGGAGGCAGCAGUAGGGAAUCUUCCACAAUGGACGCAAGUCUGAUGGAGCAACGCCGCGUGAGUGAAGAAGGUUUUCGGAUCGUNAAGCUCUGUUGUUGGUGAAGAAGGAUAGAGGUAGU
rnacentral:rRNA from 1 species